CGCCUGGGGAGUACGGCCGCAAGGUUAAAACUCAAAUGAAUUGACGGGGGCCCGCACAAGCGGUGGAGCAUGUGGUUUAAUUCGACGCAACGCGAAGAACCUUACCUGGCCUUGACAUCCAGAGAGCUUUCCAGAGAUGGAUUGGUGCCUUCGGGAACUCUGAGACAGGUGCUGCAUGGCCGUCGUCAGCUCGUGUCGUGAGAUGUUGGGUUAAGUCCCGUAACGAGCGCAACCCCUAUCCCUGGUUGCUAGCAGGUAAUGCUGAGAACUCCAGGGAGACUGCCGGUGACAAACCGGAGGAAGGUGGGGAUGACGUCAGGUCAUCAUGGCCCUUACGGCCAGGGCUACACACGUGCUACAAUGGCGCGUACAGAGGGCUGCCAACUCGCGAGAGUGAGCCAAUCCCUUAAAACGCGUCGUAGUCCGGAUCGGAGUCUGCAACUCGACUCCGUGAAGUCGGAAUCGCUAGUAAUCGCGAAUCAGAACGUCGCGGUGAAUACGUUCCCGGGCCUUGUACACACCGCCCGUCACACCAUGGGAGUGGAUUGCACCAGAAGUAGUUAGUCUAACCUUCGGGAGGACGAUUACCACGGUGUGGUUCAUGACUGGGGUGAAGUCGUAACAAGGUAACCGUA
rnacentral:rRNA from 1 species